GAAGCCAAUGCGGAAGUACAAAAAACUGCAGUUCCUCGAGGUUCCGCUUGAGGCUGGCUGCAGAAGCGUCGAAAGUGCCAUAAGCCCACAGCCAAAAAAGCCCAUUUUUACCACAGGAAUUAACAUGUUUACAGCCUGGUUCAAAAAACGAGAUAUAUCUGAUAAGUUGACGGCCCCUUCUCCUCACACUGUGGGGGGGAUUUUUUUAUAACUCAUCGGAUUUUAUUCUAUUAAGGAAAACGACUAUGCCCAUAUAAGGGAUGUGGCAGAUUUGAUUGACAGCUCUGCGCGCUGCAUCUGUCUGUCAGGUCAGCAGGUCAGGAGGCUAACAGCUUGAUCCGUCUGAUUUCUCCUCUUUUUUACUUCGUUUGGAGAGUUUGUUUAACACAUAUCUGACAACAUACACGGCUUGCUGUGCGGUUAACAGACCAUCCAACAAGUUGGUGCUUCAGUUUUUUUCGACCCCGCACUAAAAGUCCAUGUUCUCCUGGAUCCAUGUCACAUGCUUGAGCUUCUUCAGAAUUACUUUUCAACAGUCGAAGUUCUGGUGAGAGAAGAUGGCCAGCAGAUAAGACGGCAGUACAUCAACGAGCUCCACAGGCUUCAGGAGAAGGAGAAGGAGGGUUUGCACCUUGGAAGACUGUAUUCAUGCUUCAGCUGUUCAAAUAAAAAUAGAUCUCCUCCAAACAACUUGCAUUCAAACUAUUUUCUUCCCAUUUUAAAACCCUUUGUCCAGUUUAGAUGGGAGAAGUUGAUAUUAUGUGAUAUUGAUCUGGGAAGACUACAUUUCUAAAUCAUUUUUAACUGUGUUUUUAUUCACAAGUUAUUGAUCUUAUUUACUCUCCAAGUAUCUUGAUUUAAGAAUGGGGCUGUGUUUAAGGACAAAUUUUUGCAAUGACUCUUCCAUCCCAUUUUAAGAAAUGAACUGAAUUAGUAUUUGGUAAAAAAAAAAUGUCAAGAA